rnacentral:rRNA from 1 species
UGGGGAAUUUUGGACAAUGGGCGAAAGCCUGAUCCAGCCAUGCCGCGUGAGUGAAGAAGGCCUUCGGGUUGUAAAGCUCUUUUAGCCGGAAAGAAAGAGUUGCAAUGAAUAAUUGUGAUUUAUGACGGUACCGACAGAAAAAGCACCGGCUAACUACGUGCCAGCAGCCGCGGUAAUACGUAGGGUGCGAGCGUUAAUCGGAAUUACUGGGCGUAAAGGGUGCGCAGGCGGUCUUGCAAGUCAGAUGUGAAAGCCCCGGGCUUAACCUGGGAAUUGCAUUUGAAACUGCUAGGCUAGAGUGUAGCAGAGGGAGGUGGAAUUCCAUGUGUAGCAGUGAAAUGCGUAGAGAUGUGGAAGAACACCGAUGGCGAAGGCAGCUCCCUGGGUUGACACUGACGCUCAUGCACGAAAGCGUGGGGAGCAAACA